CAGCAUCCAUGGUUAAGACAUAGAGCCACUCCUCAGGCAUACCAGCGAGUCUUCUCACAGUAAUAAACUCUUUGCUCUGAACAACAUACCUCCAUCUCUUACAGACACGUCCCAUGGAAGGUAAGCUAGCACGCGGCACCAGCGCCAGACACAGCUUGGCCACAUCAUCAGACAACCCCGGGAUCAAAGGCUCAGACAGCAGCCGUGAACUGAGAUCAAGAUUUACCAUCCUUUUCUUCCCACUAACAACAGCCUCCAUCUUUUUGACUAAUCUUUUGAACAAGAGAGAUGGUUAAAUCUCCCAAUAUAAAUAUCUAUCUAAAGUAAAGUUUUGGUGUAUGAAGAAGUAGUUAUUGAAGAAUCUCGUGAAACCCGUCACGUAUAGGGAUUUUCAAAGACAAAGGAAUAAACAGGUUUGAUGAGAAGAAGACUAUCGCAGUGACCAAUGAUGAAUGAUGAUGAUGUCCAGCUUCAUAUUCCAUACCAAUGGCUUCGUUUCUAGAGUUUUUAAGAUCUAAGAUUGUCGUUAAAUUAAUGUUGUUUCUUCUCAGACACAUCUCUGUAUCUAAAACCAAAACAAAGAUUAAAAGAUUUGUCAACAACAGGUUCCCAAAACAAAAGAGAGUUGCAAGAAAGAAGACAUACCAUUAAAGGGAAUGCUAGUGAAGGAGAUUUAGCCAACCGCAACAUCCAUCUCUUAGAAUUUGCGAAUGUUCUGCAAUUUUUUUUUAGAUAAGUCAAAUGUUGAACGAAGUCAAGAACCAAUAAGAUCGCAAUCAUGAGAAUCAAACAAAGAGAUAGGAUGUUCCACUGAAUAAAAAAAGAACACGCAGCAUCAUAUAACCACAAAAAAAAAUCAGGAAAAAGCAGUGGAUAUCAAUUAAUUUCCUGAAAAGAAAAAUGAAUAUAAUUUCUCUAGAGUUGGCUAAGAUCUCAAGAUCGGUGCUUCCAAGACCAUUAAAAAAAACUAACAAUGAAUCAAAAAUUGCAGAAAAUUUACUAUAAUGGUGGUGAGAGACCUGAAGCGGAUGAUUCAUUUCUAAAGAAGAAACUUAAAAUCCAAAUGGCUAAGACAUUUAUAGAAAAAAGAACGAAAAUGGCGGAAAGAAAUAAAAAGGAUAGAGAUGAAAGAAAGUACCGAGAGAAUAGGGAGGCCUUGUCUUUUUCUUUUGAGUCUUCUUUGUUCUUGCGUUGAACUUGGUUUGCAGAGAAGAAGAGAGAGAGAGAGAGAGAUGUAAUAAUAAUAAGGAUGGUGUAUUUAUAAAGGGGAGCGUGAGAUUCGAACAAUUAUUAUAUUUAUGAGCAAAAUCACAGGAGGAAGCAUCAUACGGUGGAUCGGCCGUAAGAUAAUCAUGUCUACUAGUCACCACGUCACUUUCACCCCAUCACCAUCUAUUUAUUAUUGUAUAUUUUCCAUUUACUUACCGGAGACAUGUUUUUUAUUCAGACCACGACGAAGACAUGUUUUAUUUUUAUAAAGUAAACUCUACUCCAUCAGACUAAUCUAUGUCCAUUAAGAUUUUUUUUUGGUUUGUUGGGCUCUUUUUGGUUGUUGGGGUCAGGGCCAACCUUGGAAAGGAGUCAUAUUUGAAUACAAGUCAUACAACAAUUUCUCAAUAAACUCCUAACCGUAACAUUAAAUUUGGUGUUGAAAUAGCAUUAAAAUAGAUGAUAACCCACACGCGCAAGGUGAAUUUUUAUAAUAAUAUUUGUUCAUUAAAUGGUUUUACUAUUUUGCAACACUACAACCUUUAGUGAUUGCAACAAUCACUCAAACCGCUCUAAACCUCAUAAAUUCAAAAACUGGUUCCAGCUAGCAUUUGCAGUUGCAGGAGGAUAAAUUGUUUUUUUAAAAUAAUAUAAAUACAAAAAUAAAAAUAUUCAAUAAAAAAUUUAAAUUGGAAUUAUAAAAAUACUAAAAUAUAUCUAUUAUAUUUUAAUUAAUAUUAUAAAAUUUUAAAAUAAAAAUAUUUUCUAUANNNNNNNNNNNNNNNNNNNNNNNNNNNNNNNNNNNNNNNNNNNNNNNNNNNNNNUAUAUAUAUAUAUAUAUAAUAUGAAUAUCUAUUAAUGUAUAUAAUAUGAAUAUCUAUUAAUGAGACUUCAUAUUCAUACGAUUUAUCAAGGCUGGACGUUUUAUCCGAUACCUGAACCCGUAUCUGAAUCCAAUCCAAAAAUUCGAACUGAAGUAGCAAAAUAUCCGAACGGUUAUUGGAUUCGGAAAGAUUGGAUAUCCGAACCUAAACGGGUAAUAUCCGAACCCGAACGGAUAUAUAUCCAACCAUAAAUAUACUUAACUUUAUAUUUCUAGUUUACUUUUCUCAUUUUAUUCAAAAUAUUUAUAUUAAUGAUGCACAUUGCUCAAAAUUAGAUAAUAUACCUAUAAUUAUGGACAAAAACAUUUUUUUCUCACUUAAAAUACAUAUCAAACUCUUGUUUCUUGCAUAAACAAAAGUUCAUCUAAAAUUUCAAAACAACAACUAAUUAGUGUUUCUAUUUUUAAAGUUUUAUCUCCAAACCUAUUAAUAGUGUAAUCUUUUAAAAAUUAGAAAACCAGUUAAGUUAAAAGUAUAUUUUCAAUUAAAAAAAACUUAAACAAUAAAUAAUUUAUUUAUUUUUUCUUCAAAGUUUAAAUAUCUGAACCCGAACAUAAAAUACCCGAACCCGAUCCGAAGUGUAGAAAUACUCAAACGGGUUCAAUGCCUUUAUACUGAAAUACCCGAAAAAUCCUAAAUACCUGAUACGAACCCGAACGGGUAUCUGAAUGCUCACCCACGCAGGAACCAGACAGUUUUAUCUCAGAUGUUUUCCACUGCCUGCCUGGUGCAGCUUCCGGGUCAUACAACAAAGUACUGUGACCAGUCUCUUCUUGAGAUGAAAAAAGCAGAAGCUUCCCACUCAGCUUACCAAACUGAAACCCGGCCCUCGAGCUUCCUGACAGCGGAAGAGCCACAACUUCCCAAGUAUCAUCUUCUGCAUUGAAGACAGACAUCUUCCUCUGGUUCUUCCACUCGAUACAGAAGAGCUUCUUUCCUACUUCAACAUGAGCUGUGACCAUCUGCAAUUGUAUCAAGAGCACCUAAAUAUUAGAGAUACUCUCUAUCAAUGUUCAAGAACUCAGCGGAUUAUUGGGAACUUAGGCGAGCCAAUGCAUUAAAAAAAUUAUUGAUUUAUUUUAUAUAUAUUUAACAUUUAUAUAAGAUGUUUAUUUCUUGACUUUAAUUGUAAUUUUUUUUUUAUGAAUUAUCAAAAUUAGAUAUUCAACGUAAGAAAUUAGACAAAAUUGUGAAUUCAUACUAAUUUAACAGAUUUAAACUAAUUUAGAUCGAAUUAAACCGAUUUAAAAUGAUAUAAAUCGAUGUAGAAUGAUUUAAAUCAUAUAUAUAUAUAUCAGAUUUCUUGAAAAUCGUUUCAGAUAGUACCGAUUUGCCCUAACCAUGGUAAUCCAUACUUUAAAACCAAGCUAAAGAAACAUACUAUCAUGUGUAUCAUCUGAGGAGAAACACUUACAGUUACACCGUUUUUGCUGCCACACCAGGAGCCACACUGAGGGUUGUACACAUCAACAAGUUUUGAGUUACCAAUGGUGAAGUUGGAUCUCCCACCCAUCACAUAGAGCUUCCCGUUGAAGCCGCUAGCGAAACAUCCCCAUCUCGGACGCCUCAGAGACUGUAUGAAAGUCCAAACCCCUGUCUCUGGAUCGUAAACCUCUGCACUAGAAAGACUCUCACCAUCUCCACCAUGACCUCCCACCACAUAAACAAGCCCAUUCACCUCGGCGCAAGCAAAGUCAUAGCGAGCCUCCUUCAGGUCAGCUAGUCUGCUCCAGCUGGAUUAAAAAGUAUUAAAUCAUUGGAUCAAAGUUAACAAAGUAUGCUGGAAUUAAUUAAGAAAAUAAAUAGCUGACGAACCUGUUGAGGCAAGUAUCAAACUGGUAAACAUCAGAAGAUGCAACAUGAGAGCCACUGAUCAUAGCACAACCAGCAAUAACAAGAAGUUUCCCAUCAACAACAACCACCUUAAACCCUGUCUUUACAGGACCAGGCAUUGGUGGAAGAGAUGAUAGCUUAUGUCCCAGACAGUCGAUCACCUCCCAGUGACUCUCUUUCCCGCCAGCAUCCAUGGUUAAGACAUAGAGCCACUCCUCAGGCAUACCAGCGAGUCUUCUCACAGUAAUAAACUCUUUGCUCUGAACAACAUACCUCCAUCUCUUACAGACACGUCCCAUGGAAGGUAAGCUAGCACGCGGCACCAGCGCCAGACACAGCUUGGCCACAUCAUCAGACAACCCCGGGAUCAAAGGCUCAGACAGCAGCCGUGAACUGAGAUCAAGAUUUACCAUCCUUUUCUUCCCACUAACAACAGCCUCCAUCUUUUUGACUAAUCUUUUGAACAAGAGAGAUGGUUAAAUCUCCCAAUAUAAAUAUCUAUCUAAAGUAAAGUUUUGGUGUAUGAAGAAGUAGUUAUUGAAGAAUCUCGUGAAACCCGUCACGUAUAGGGAUUUUCAAAGACAAAGGAAUAAACAGGUUUGAUGAGAAGAAGACUAUCGCAGUGACCAAUGAUGAAUGAUGAUGAUGUCCAGCUUCAUAUUCCAUACCAAUGGCUUCGUUUCUAGAGUUUUUAAGAUCUAAGAUUGUCGUUAAAUUAAUGUUGUUUCUUCUCAGACACAUCUCUGUAUCUAAAACCAAAACAAAGAUUAAAAGAUUUGUCAACAACAGGUUCCCAAAACAAAAGAGAGUUGCAAGAAAGAAGACAUACCAUUAAAGGGAAUGCUAGUGAAGGAGAUUUAGCCAACCGCAACAUCCAUCUCUUAGAAUUUGCGAAUGUUCUGCAAUUUUUUUUUAGAUAAGUCAAAUGUUGAACGAAGUCAAGAACCAAUAAGAUCGCAAUCAUGAGAAUCAAACAAAGAGAUAGGAUGUUCCACUGAAUAAAAAAAGAACACGCAGCAUCAUAUAACCACAAAAAAAAAUCAGGAAAAAGCAGUGGAUAUCAAUUAAUUUCCUGAAAAGAAAAAUGAAUAUAAUUUCUCUAGAGUUGGCUAAGAUCUCAAGAUCGGUGCUUCCAAGACCAUUAAAAAAAACUAACAAUGAAUCAAAAAUUGCAGAAAAUUUACUAUAAUGGUGGUGAGAGACCUGAAGCGGAUGAUUCAUUUCUAAAGAAGAAACUUAAAAUCCAAAUGGCUAAGACAUUUAUAGAAAAAAGAACGAAAAUGGCGGAAAGAAAUAAAAAGGAUAGAGAUGAAAGAAAGUACCGAGAGAAUAGGGAGGCCUUGUCUUUUUCUUUUGAGUCUUCUUUGUUCUUGCGUUGAACUUGGUUUGCAGAGAAGAAGAGAGAGAGAGAGAGAGAUGUAAUAAUAAUAAGGAUGGUGUAUUUAUAAAGGGGAGCGUGAGAUUCGAACAAUUAUUAUAUUUAUGAGCAAAAUCACAGGAGGAAGCAUCAUACGGUGGAUCGGCCGUAAGAUAAUCAUGUCUACUAGUCACCACGUCACUUUCACCCCAUCACCAUCUAUUUAUUAUUGUAUAUUUUCCAUUUACUUACCGGAGACAUGUUUUUUAUUCAGACCACGACGAAGACAUGUUUUAUUUUUAUAAAGUAAACUCUACUCCAUCAGACUAAUCUAUGUCCAUUAAGAUUUUUUUUUGGUUUGUUGGGCUCUUUUUGGUUGUUGGGGUCAGGGCCAACCUUGGAAAGGAGUCAUAUUUGAAUACAAGUCAUACAACAAUUUCUCAAUAAACUCCUAACCGUAACAUUAAAUUUGGUGUUGAAAUAGCAUUAAAAUAGAUGAUAACCCACACGCGCAAGGUGAAUUUUUAUAAUAAUAUUUGUUCAUUAAAUGGUUUUACUAUUUUGCAACACUACAACCUUUAGUGAUUGCAACAAUCACUCAAACCGCUCUAAACCUCAUAAAUUCAAAAACUGGUUCCAGCUAGCAUUUGCAGUUGCAGGAGGAUAAAUUGUUUUUUUAAAAUAAUAUAAAUACAAAAAUAAAAAUAUUCAAUAAAAAAUUUAAAUUGGAAUUAUAAAAAUACUAAAAUAUAUCUAUUAUAUUUUAAUUAAUAUUAUAAAAUUUUAAAAUAAAAAUAUUUUCUAUGCAUUAUUAAAAACCAGAAAAUGGUUUAUGAAUAACACUGUUAAAGCUAACGCAAAAAAGCAUCAUUUAAUAAAACUAUGUAUUAUUUUAAUAAUCACUUUUAAUAGUCAAUAAUUACAAGAUUAAACUAUUUAUAGUCACAAGUUGAUCAAAUUGUGAAUGAUUUUGUGAAUAGUGAUAAUAAUUUCGAAAAGAUAUAUAUAUAUAUAUAUAUAUAUAAACAAUUAUGAUUAAUUGAGACAUUCUAAACUUGAAAGAGUGACGAAUAAUAUGAUAUUCAUCAAUGUUUACAGUCUAAAAAAAACUAAUUUUAAUAUUGUUUUUAAAAUUGUCUAAAUUUAUUUCUAUAAAUAAAUAAAUAUAAAACAACUCUUUCUAUCAAAACUGAAUAUGAAGAGUGAGAAAAAUAUAAUUUUAUCAAAUAAUCUAUCUUAUUAAAAUAUAAAUAAUUAAAAUUUGAAACUAUUUACAAUUUUUUUUUCAAAAUUAAUAUAUUGUAUUAAUAAAAAAAUUAUAUUUAUAGUUUUUAGUUAUUGUUUAAUGUGUCUAAUAAUUAUUCAAUAAUUUAUUAUAGAAAUUAAUAACUAACUGUCUACAAUUAAUUAUUAUAUAUAUAUAUAUAUCUAUUUUAUAGAUAUGAAACACAAAUCAAUUAUUUCACAUUAUUGUUUAAAUGAUAUCUUACUCACACAUUAUUGUUUAAAUGAUAUCUUUACUCACAAAAUGGGAAUUUUGACUUUAUGAAAAUAUUAUUAAUUAAUAGCACUUUCUAACAAAGUUGUUUUUAUUAAAAGUCCAAAAAUGUUUGUUUUUAGUUUUCUUCGAAAAUGGCUGUGUCUCGUUCUUCUUACAUCACAAGUAAUAAAAGGGAAAGAAUGAUAUUGCCACCUAUACGCGGUUGUAGUGCUUUUUGGCUGUGGUCCUGUGGACAUGCUAAUUUUGGUUCUGUAAACAUUGGUGGAAUUUCUAUUGAUAAGAAAGGAAAGUGUAAAUAAAAAAAAAUGGUGGUUCAUCUGGGUACGAGCCACCAGGCCAUGUGGACCUGAGUGGCUUUGAUCCGUUAUCCGUCCACUGCCGAGAGAGGGAGGUGAUCGCUGCUCUGUAAAAUUAAUAUAUUGUAUUAAUAAAAAAAUUAUAUUUAUAGUUUUUAGUUAUUGUUUAAUGUGUCUAAUAAUUAUUCAAUAAUUUAUUAUAGAAAUUAAUAACUAACUGUCUACAAUUAAUUAUUAUAUAUAUAUAUAUAUCUAUUUUAUAGAUAUGAAACACAAAUCAAUUAUUUCACAUUAUUGUUUAAAUGAUAUCUUACUCACACAUUAUUGUUUAAAUGAUAUCUUUACUCACAAAAUGGGAAUUUUGACUUUAUGAAAAUAUUAUUAAUUAAUAGCACUUUCUAACAAAGUUGUUUUUAUUAAAAGUCCAAAAAUGUUUGUUUUUAGUUUUCUUCGAAAAUGGCUGUGUCUCGUUCUUCUUACAUCACAAGUAAUAAAAGGGAAAGAAUGAUAUUGCCACCUAUACGCGGUUGUAGUGCUUUUUGGCUGUGGUCCUGUGGACAUGCUAAUUUUGGUUCUGUAAACAUUGGUGGAAUUUCUAUUGAUAAGAAAGGAAAGUGUAAAUAAAAAAAAAUGGUGGUUCAUCUGGGUACGAGCCACCAGGCCAUGUGGACCUGAGUGGCUUUGAUCCGUUAUCCGUCCACUGCCGAGAGAGGGAGGUGAUCGCUGCUCUGUGAAACCAGCCUCACGCAUUGCCCUCCCCUCUUUAGGAACCGCCUGAAUCAAGCCUUCGCCUAACACAAACGGAUCACUCUCGGCUUGGACUGGGCGGUCCAGAAGAUGCCAUACAGAACCGACCGGUGGGCCGAGCCAGUGUUCCACCAUCUUAUUGUCCCCACAUGGGUCACAAACUCUUGUUACUGAGCUCGACGUUCAAUCUUAUGAUUGAAGACUUAUAUAAACAACACAAUUUUGAGUCAAGUAACCGAUGUGGGACGAAGGACAAAUUUGGAGAUUUACCUGUGGGGGACUACAGUCUCUCUCUCUUUUUUCUCCUUUCUAACAAUUUGUCUCCACUUUGAGCAUCUGGAUUCUGUUAAUUUUGCAAAUGCACAAGGUGUAGUACAUACGUGUGUAUCGCAUUUUACAUGUUAGAAUCAAACUUGUAUAUGAAAGCUUGGUUUUUAUUGAAUCUAGUCUUUGUUUCUUGUUGUGUACUUUUGUUUAUGUGUUAGUCGGAUCUUUUUUUCUCAGCCUGUUAAGAUCUUCGAAGACUUCUACGAAUAUCAAGCUCAUAACCGUACAGGUGAGCAAAGAAACUCCAUUCCGGCUAUCUACCCUAAAGCUGUUUCUGCAGUUUCAGAAGAUCAUCCUCAGUUGCACAUCUCUUACAAACACACUACACGUCUCUAGAGCAUUCCAUUGAUUGAGGGAAUCAUAAGACUCGAGUGGACAUUUACAUGACUGUGAUGGACUAUGUGGUAUUCAGUAGCGGACAAGAAGACAAAGGAAUCCACCUGAGACAACCCACAAGUUGCAGGAAAUAUAUAAACGACUAUCACAAGAAACGAAAAAAGUUAAGGAUUCAGCUAGAGGUUUGUUUCUGUCGUAUUGAGUAGAACUACUAUUUCAUCUGGGAAAGUGCUGAACGUGAGCUCAUGUUACAGAUUCUACUCCAAAAAGCCACACAGAAGUUCUUCCCUCAGAUUACUUGCGAGUCUGUAACUUUUUAUAAGUUGCUUCCUGAGAUUGUUAGCUCUGUCAAAGUUGUCUCUGGAGUAUUAAACAUUUUCCGACAGAAGCUUGGUGAUGUAUCUUCAUGUUUUUUACCAAUUCAUCUCAUGUUUUAGCUCAGGUAUGCUACUCCAACAGGAUACCGUGUAAGGCAAGACUGAGUCGUGUUCUAGCCACCCCACUGUCCCCAAUCCUCUUGCAGAUGGCAAAGAUCUAGGAGAAGCUGUAGCAGUUCUCCUGUAUCACAGAUUCUUGUGGACUUGACUAAUAUUCAUAUUCUGAUCCAGGUUUUGGACAAUGCGAAAAAAUAGUAUAAUAGCCUACACAAAUCAAACGCACAUUUCAUUUUUUUUUUUUAACUUCCAACAUAUGUUACAAGGAAAAAACAAUUUCAAUCAAACCACACACACACACACACACCACUUUAUUCAAACUGUAUCUAAGAUCAGUUUAAAACUCAACGCUCUAUUUGAGUUUGGAUCAUGGAGAAAUUUAACAACAAUGGUAUUAAUAAGAUCAUCAUCAAUCAGGCUAUGAUUGUGACGCUGCACACGCAGGAACCAGACAGUUUUAUCUCAGAUGUUUUCCACUGCCUGCCUGGUGCAGCUUCCGGGUCAUACAGCAAAGUGCUGUGACCAGUCUCUUCUUGAGAUGAAAAAAGUAGAAGCUUCCCAUUCAGCUUACCAAACUGAAACCCGGCGCUCGAGCUUCCUGACAGCGGAAGAGCCACAACUUCCCAAGUAUCAUCUUCUGCAUUGAAGACAGACAUCUUCCUCUGGUUCUUCCACUCCAUACAGAAGAGCUUCUUUCCUACUUCAACAUGAGCUGUGACCAUCUGCAAUUGUAUCAAGAGCACCCAAAUAUUAGAGAUACUCUCUACCAAUGUUCAAGAACUCCGUAGAUUAUUCGGAACUUAAGCUUGGCCUAUGCAUUGACAAAUUAUUGAUUUAUUUUAUAUAUAUUUUACAUUUAUAUAAGAUGUUUUAUUUUUUGACUUUAGUUGUAUUUUUUUUUUAUGGAUUCUCAAAAUUAGACAUUAUUACUUAAUUUAACGGAUUUAGACUAAUCUAGAUCGAUUUAAACAGAUUUAAAAUGAUUUAAAUCGAUGUAGAAUGGUUUAGAUUAUCAAAUUUUUUGAAAAUUGUUUCGGAUAGUACUGUUUGCCGUAACCAUGGUUUCUAUACUUUAAAACCAAGCUAAAGAAACAUACUAUCAUGAGUAUCGUCUGAGGAGAAACACUUACAGUUACACCGUUUUUGCUGCCACACCAGGAGCCACACUGAGGGUUGUACACAUCAACAAGUUUUGAGUUACCAAUGGUGAAGUUGGAUCUCCCACCCAUCACAUAGAGCUUCCCGUUGAAGCCGCUAGCGAAACAUCCCCAUCUCGGACGCCUCAGAGACUGUAUGAAAGUCCAAACCCCUGUCUCUGGAUCGUAAACCUCUGCACUAGAAAGACUCUCACCAUCUCCACCAUGACCUCCCACCACAUAAACAAGCCCAUUCACCUCGGCGCAAGCAAAGUCAUAGCGAGCCUCCUUCAGGUCAGCUAGUCUGCUCCAGCUGGAUUAAAAAGUAUUAAAUCAUUGGAUCAAAGUUAACAAAGUAUGCUGGAAUUAAUUAAGAAAAUAAAUAGCUGACGAACCUGUUGAGGCAAGUAUCAAACUGGUAAACAUCAGAAGAUGCAACAUGAGAGCCACUGAUCAUAGCACAACCAGCAAUAACAAGAAGUUUCCCAUCAACAACAACCACCUUAAACCCUGUCUUUACAGGACCAGGCAUUGGUGGAAGAGAUGAUAGCUUAUGUCCCAGACAGUCGAUCACCUCCCAGUGACUCUCUUUCCCUCCAGCAUCCAUGGUUAAGACAUAGAGCCACUCCUCAGGCAUACCAGCGAGUCUUCUCACAGUAAUAAACUCUUUGCUCUGAACAACAUACCUCCAUCUCUUACAGACACGUCCCAUGGAAGGUAAGCUAGCACGCGGCACCAGCGCCAGACACAGCUUGGCCACAUCAUCAGACAACCCCGGGAUCAAAGGCUCAGACAGCAGCCGUGAACUGAGAUCAAGAUUUACCAUCCUUUUCUUCCCACUAACAACAGCCUCCAUCUUUUUGACUAAUCUUUUGAACAAGAGAGAUGGUUAAAUCUCCCAAUAUAAAUAUCUAUCUAAAGUAAAGUUUUGGUGUAUGAAGAAGUAGUUAUUGAAGAAUCUCGUGAAACCCGUCACGUAUAGGGAUUUUCAAAGACAAAGGAAUAAACAGGUUUGAUGAGAAGAAGACUAUCGCAGUGACCAAUGAUGAAUGAUGAUGAUGUCCAGCUUCAUAUUCCAUACCAAUGGCUUCGUUUCUAGAGUUUUUAGGAUCUAAGAUUGUCGUUGGAUUAAUGUUGUUUCUUCUCAGACACAUCUCUGU
rnacentral:lncRNA from 1 species